AGCAGUGUGGCUCAGUGGAAAGAGCAUGGGCUUGGGAGUCAGAGGUCAUGGGUUCGAAUCCCACCUCUGCCA
rnacentral:tRNA from 1 species